CCUACGGGUGGCAGCAGUAGGGAAUAUUGCUCAAUGGGGGAAACCCUGACGCAGCAACGCCGCGUGGAGGAGGAAGGUUUUCGGAUUGUAAACUCUUUUUGUUAGAGAAGAUAAUGACGGUAUCCAACGAAUAAGCACCGGCUAACUCCGUGCCAGCAGCCGCGGUAAUACGGCGGGUGCAAGCGUUACUCGGAAUCACUGGGCGUAAAGAGCGCGUAGGCGGGAUAGCAAGUCAGAUGUGAAAUCCUAUGGCUUAACCAUAGAAAUGCAUUUGAAACUGGCAUUUUAGAGUGUGGUAGAGGUAGGUGGAAUUCUUGGUGUAGGGGUGAAAUCCGUAGAGAUCAGGAGGAAUACUGAUGGCGGAGGCGACCUGCUAGAACAUAACUGACGCUGAUGAGCGAAAGCGUGGGGAGCAAACAGGAUUAGAUACCCGAGUAGUC
rnacentral:rRNA from 1 species